GGAAUUCCCGGUUUUCCCGGCUCAGCUGAGGAAGCUCCUUGAGGAGAGGGAAGCCACAGGAUGGAGGUGGGCGCCAAGCAGGAAUGUUGCCAAUGAAUGGCUCCGUUGUGGGCUGUGUUGUUUUUACCUCUUGGAUUUGUGUUCCCUGAAGACCAAAGAAAGCUGUUCAAGCAGUGUAUGAGUGAAGCACAAGAAAACCACCUUUUUGUGUUUCAUGGACUGUUACAGACGCAGCGCGGCUGAAGAGCUAACACCACAUUUAAGGGAUACAAAAUGGAUGCUUAAUGAUCUAAAUGCUUCCUACUUCUUGUAAUUCACACAAAAGAACAGAGUAAAGAAAAUUCUGAAAUUAUAGGAUUUAUAGACCUUAGAUUACAGAUAUUAAUUUUUUAGAUUACUAUUUAGGAAGGCUUUAUAAUAGCUUGUAAUAUUUAAUUUGUUAAUUGGAGCCACCUAUAUUUGGAUGAAAUUACUUCACUCAUGUCCAUGAAAGGUAUCAUUGUUCAAAAUACUCUGUGUCUUUGCUGUGUGUGUUCUUCCAUGCUUUUUUGUGUGUGCUCAUCAUAGGCAAAUGUUAGAAAAUGUCUUUAAAAAUGGGGGAAGUGAAAAUCAUGAGUUGCAAGUUGACAUCAGGAGUUACAGAUCACUUCCAGUGAUGUUUCUAGGCUUUCUUAUUUGUUAUUGAGCCUUUGAAGAGCCCAUGAUUAGUUACUGAAUCAGCACAUUGCUGCUUCAUUUUUUCUCAUCAUGUUCUUGCACUCAAAAGCAACAACAAUAUAAACCCCUAAAGUCAAAUCAGAGCAUGUAUUUCAAUCCAGCUCAUAAAGCUCAGGUGACAGUAACUGAUGACUGGGAAAUACAGACCAAUUCGACGGUGGGCACUGAUGAAAUCUGUAAAAUGCAUUAGGCCAGUUGUGACAAAUGUUCUGGCUUUUAGCUUUUUGUGACCUUUUAUUAUUUUACAUAGAGGAUCCUGGAAGCAACAAAUGGUUCUUUCAAACAUUCCGUGUAGAGUGAACUUCCUUCAAAUAAGAUGGGCCCAGGGGCUUGAGAGUAGAGUAUAAGAGAUGUAAGGGAGGCUGUUCUUCUUGAGUUCUGGUAUUUUUAAAGCAAACAAGCAAAAGCCCCAAGGAGGUGAUGGGAUUAAAUCUCAAACUCCACAUUGUUCUGUAUUUGGUGAAGCAGCCAGGAGCAGACUGAGGCUUUUUCCCAACAGAGCUUUGACAUGCUCAUUUAUUUUAUUGCCAUGCUUUUAAACAGGUUUAUUACUGUAUGGAUAUGAGAACAGAACAGACCCCUCUGAGGAGUCCUUUCCAGGGGGGAAUGUAGAGGUUAGGAGAGGAAACACUUGAAAGGAAUCCCAAACAGCUCUCUCCCAUUUUCUCUCUGUCACUUCAACGUAAUGAACAGGGAUAAAUAAAGUAAUAAAGCUGUCUGCAACCACAGCUGUAUGGCUCCUAUUCCCAUAGGCUCAGCAACAUCAAUCAAAAGUGAAUUAGAGAGACAUGUUUUACUUCUGUUGUAUAUCAAAGAGUUGCUCGGGUGUUACCAAAUGUUAAUUCAUUUUAGCAGCUUGAUAUGAGACAAAAAUCUGGAAACAGUGUAUCUGAAAACUCCUUGCUGUGUCCUGGAUUUGUGUCCUGAGUCCUCCCUUUGCUUCCAUGGAGUAACAAGGGCACUGAAUGUGGUUUCCAUGCACAAUGAAUUACACUGUGUCCUCAUUUAUUGCUCCUCCUGUUACAGUUAUUUCUACUCACUCCUCAUGCUUGGCUGGCUGCAAUCUGACAUUUUCUACUCCUAAACCCUGAACUCAGGCUUUCCCUGGUGACAUGCACAAAUUCUUCUGGAGCAAACAAACCAUAGUGUGGUUUUACAUUGAAUGGCAGUGGAAAAAGUUACUGUAUUUCCAACUCUUAUCCUAGAAUAUUACAUUGUGGGUUUUCCUACAUAAUCAGCAAAAAAUAUCUGGGUGUUUAACUCCUGGGAAAAUGCAAGGUGGGGCAAUAGGCAGGAGAAACACA